rnacentral:rRNA from 1 species
AUUGAACGCUGGCGGCAUGCCUUACACAUGCAAGUCGAACGGUAACAGGUCUUCGGAUGCUGACGAGUGGCGAACGGGUGAGUAAUACAUCGGAACGUGCCCGAGAGUGGGGGAUAACGAGGCGAAAGCUUUGCUAAUACCGCAUACGAUCUCAGGAUGAAAGCAGGGGACCGCAAGGCCUUGUCCUCACGGAGCGGCCGAUGGCAGAUUAGGUAGUUGGUGGGAUAAAAGCUUACCAAGCCGACGAUCUGUAGCUGGUCUGAGAGGACGACCUGCCACACUGGGACUGAGACACGGCCCAGACUCCUACGGGAGGCAGCAGUGGGGAAUUUUGGACAAUGGGCGCAAGCCUGAUCCAGCCACGCCGCGUGCAGGAUGAAGGCCUUCGGGUUGUAAACUGCUUUUGUACGGAACGAAAAGACUCUGGUUAAUACCUGGGGUCCAUGACGGUACCGUAAGAAUAAGCACCGGCUAACUACGUGCCAGCCGCCGCGGUAAUAC